AGUCCUUAUACACGAGGCAAGUAACAAAAUUCUAUUGUAUUUAAUUGGUCAUCUUUCCAAGAAAGCUUAUGCAAUAUCUUAAAAUUCUAUGGGUUGGACAUUGAUCUGUAACUGGUAAAUGAUGACAAUAAAGCUUUCAUUACGCGGGUUUCCUUUUCCCUCUGACAUAGCCCUGCUUGCAUACACAUUAAGAAAUGUAAAGGUCUGUAUUUGAUUCAACGGUCUAGUUGGCCCAUCUAUCUUGGCUGUGUGCUGAGCUCACUAGUCACUAAUGGUCAUUCUGAACUCCGAAUAUUGUUUGGUUUUGAGGGAAAGAAAAUAAUAUGGUGCGACUGAACGGUUUUGGGUGUCUUGCAGGCAACUUUUGAGGAU
rnacentral:misc_RNA from 1 species